rnacentral:rRNA from 1 species
UGGGGAAUAUUGCACAAUGGGCGAAAGCCUGAUGCAGCGACGCCGCGUGAGGGAUGACGGCCUUCGGGUUGUAAACCUCUUUCAGUAGGGACGAAGCGCAAGUGUCGGUACCUGCAGAAGAAGCACCGGCUAACUACGUGCCAGCAGCCGCGGUAAUACGUAGGGUGCGAGCGUUGUCCGGAAUUACUGGGCGUAAAGAGCUCGUAGGCGGUUUGUCACGUCGUCUGUGAAAUCCUAGGGCUUAACCCUGGACGUGCAGGCGAUACGGGCUGACUUGAGUACUACAGGGGAGACUGGAAUUUCUGGUGUAGCGGUGGAAUGCACAGAUAUCAGGAAGAACACCGAUGGUGAAGGCAGGUCUCUGGGUAGUAACUGACGCUGAGGAGCGAAAGCAUGGGUAGCGAACAGG